rnacentral:rRNA from 1 species
AGCAGCCGCGGUAAUUCCAGCUCCAAUAGCGUAUAUUAAAGUUGUUGCAGUUAAAAAGCUCGUAGUUGAAUUUCGGGAUCAAUUAAUCGGUCGUGCCUCUGGUACGCACUGGUUUUAUUGGUUUCUCCCUUCUGACGAACCAGGAUGUCAUUAAUUUGGUGUCUUGGAGAAUCAGGACUGUUACUUUGAAAAAUUAGAGUGUUUAAAGCAGGCUAACGCUUGAAUACAUUAGCAUGGAAUAAUGAAAUAGGACGUUUGAUCCUAUUUUGUUGGUUUCUAGGAUCGACGUAAUGAUUAAUAGGGAUAGUUGGGGGCAUUAGUAUUCAAUUGUCAGAGGUGAAAUUCUUGGAUUUAUUGAAGACUAACUACUGCGAAAGCAUUUGCCAAGGAUGUUUUCAUUAAUCAAGAACGAAAGUUAGGGGAUCGAAGACGAUCAGAUACCGUCGUAGUCUUAACCAUAAACUAUGCCGACUAGG